rnacentral:miRNA from 1 species
UUAUCAUGACUGUAAACAGGAGG